rfam:Cricetulus griseus mitochondrion, complete genome.
AAACAUAAAGGUUUGGUCCUGGCCUUAUAAUUAAUUGAAGGUAUGGUUACACAUGCAAAACUCCAUGAGCCAGUGUAAAAUCCCUAGGGUUUUGUAUUAAACUCUAAGGAGAGGGUAUCAAGCACAUUAUAAUAGCUAAAGACACCUUGCCUAGCCACGCCCCCACGGGACUCAGCAGUGAUAAAAAUUAAGCAAUGAACGAAAGUUUGACUUAGUAAUACCUUAUACAGGGUUGGUAAAUUUCGUGCCAGCCACCGCGGUCAUACGAUUAACCCAAACUAAUUAUUUCCGGCGUAAAACGUGUUAUAGACUUAACAUAAUAGAAUUAAAACCCAACUAAUAUGUGAAAAUUCAUAGUUGGUAUUAAACUCAAUGACGAAAGUAAUUCUAAUAUUUUAAUAUACACGAUAGCUAAGAUCCAAACUGGGAUUAGAUACCCCACUAUGCUUAGCCUUAAACCUUAAGGGUUAAACUAUAACAAAACCCUUUGCCUGAGAACUACUAGCCACCGCUUAAAACUCAAAGGACUUGGCGGUACUUUAUAUCCAUCUAGAGGAGCCUGUUCUAUAAUCGAUAAACCCCGCUAUACCUCACCAUCCCUUGCUAAUUCAGCCUAUAUACCGCCAUCUUCAGCAAACCUUUAAAAAGAAUAAAAGUAAGCAAGAGCAUACCCGUAAAAACGUUAGGUCAAGGUGUAGCCUAUGGGAUGGGAAGUAAUGGGCUACAUUUUCUUGACAAGAACAUUCACGAUACCCUUUAUGAAAUUAAAGGACAAAGGAGGAUUUAGUAGUAAAUUAAGAAUAGAGAGCUUAAUUGAAUAGAGCAAUGAAGUACGUACACACCGCCCGUCACCCUCCUCAAAUUAGACUGCCGAUAUUAUACCUAAUACUUAUUAAUAAGCCUAUGAGAGGAGACAAGUCGUAACAAGGUAAGCAUACUGGAAAGUGUGCUUGGAUUACCAUAACG